GGCGAGGCGACGCGCGGAGUUCCACGCGCGGGCCGGGAGGCGCCCUCGGGCAGCCCCUGGGCUGAGGCAGAGGAGGAAUGGACGGCCCUCACGCGUCUGCAAGGUGGUUCGGUUUGCGGGAGGAAGAGAUGAGGUAAGUCAGAGGGGAGAAAAAGGACUUCAUGGGGAGGAAUGCUGGAACUCUGUAGCAUCACCUGGAGAGCACGGAAUGAACAUUUUGGGAAGCCGUGGGACGACGAGGCAAGAGCGGCAGCGUCUUCGAGAUCAAGAGUGGAACGGCGAGGCAAGAGCGAGCUUGGAGCUGAAGAGGGACACCAGGGACCCUCUGGGCAAAGGGCUUUUCCAGGCCAGGGCACCUUCACGGUGCCACGGCCGGCUUUGCGCUGGGCGACCUCCCUGUGCGCAGGGCUGGGUCUUUGCUACGGUUGGCCUUUUGCCCUUGUGCUCCUUUGGCUGCCCGGAGAGAGGGGCAACCCUGUAAAGGAGGGUGAGAGCCCCUGUCUCCGCACCGGAGGGGGGAAACGGAGCUCUCCCGGCCCCCAGCCCAGCUACCCUGUAAGCAGGGCAGGGCUUUUCCCCAGCCCCGGCAGCUUUCUGCCUGCUGCCGGCCCCUGGCCAGUGUGACCCCCUGUACUCGGGGCGUGUCUCAGCCCUUGUCCCCGUGCCAGGCCUGAAGCGCUUCAGCACGUCGAGGCCCCUGUGGCCUCUUCUCAGUGCACGGGCAGGUCUAAUGCUUUCCUCUCCCGCUCAGCAUUAGGAAUGGCUCCCUAGAGUAGGCUGGCUGCACAGAGCUUGCUCCCUCUUCUGGGACUGUCUUUCUCCCCCUCCCCUGUCUCCCCCUCCCCUGUCUUCCCCUUAGUUGGUGUGAGUGAGGAAGUGUGUUUGUGCUUUUGCCCCCCCCCGCUUUAGAAACAGAGCAGUGUAGCUCAGACUUCCCAGGAGGGAAAGAGGAGCUCUGUGCAGCCACAGGCGGGUGCCCAAAAUGCACGGGUGGAGAAAGCGUCCAGCCUUGCCCCUGCUUUCUGAGGACGGCGCGAAGCCGCUUAGCGGCAGCGUGGGCACCACGACCCGCCUGUAGCCAGGGCCUGGGCGUGCGCCCACGCUGCCGGUCGUGCUGGUGAACUGCCAGCGUGCGGGCCCCGUACUCAGGGCACGUGUCAGGACCUUGGCGGCACCCUUUGUCCCAAGGAGCAG
rnacentral:lncRNA from 1 species